rnacentral:rRNA from 1 species
UAGCCGUAAACGAUACUCGCUAGGUGUCGGCCACGGUGCGACCGUUGUCGGUGCCGUAGGGAAGCCGUGAAGCGAGCCACCUGGGAAGUACGGCCGCAAGGCUGAAACUUAAAGGGAUUGGCGGGGGAGCACCACAACGGGUGGAGCUUGCGGUUUAAUUGGAUUCAACGCCGGAAAUCUUACCGGGACCGACAGCAACAUGAAGGCCAGGCUGAAGACUUUGCCGGAUUAGCUGAGAGGAGGUGCAUGGCGUAGACGUCU